CCAAAUGUCCAAUCCCUAAAUUUAUUUCUCUCCUUAAACCCUAAAUCACACUCUCACUAAAUCGAUUUUAAUUACAUUAGUAACAUUAUUGUUUAAAAAAAAAAUAAUAAUAAUAAUUAUUUUAGCCGGGGAUGGUUUUUGAGUCCGGGUAUUUCCCCGUCUCCGAUCAAAAUGACUGGAUACGGGGACUGAGAACGCAAUCCCCGCCCCGUCCCCG
rnacentral:lncRNA from 1 species